GUAGCCAAAUGGCAAAAAACGGAACCCUUAUGGAUUCGUCAUGGCUGUCUGUCCGUCCGUAUGUCACAGCCACUUUUUUCCGAAACUAUAAGAAAUAUACUGUUGAAACUUGGUAAGUAGAUGUAUUCUGUGAACCGCAUUAAGAUUUUCAUACAAAAAUAGAAAAAAAAAUUUUUUUUGGGGUUCCCCAUACUUAGAACUUAAACUCAAAAAAAAAUUUUUCAUCAAACCCAUACGUGUGGGGUAUCUAUGGAUAGGUCUUCAAAAAUGAUAUUGAGGUUUCUAAUAUCAUUUUUUUUUAAACUGAAUAGUUUGCGCGAGAGACACUUCCAAAGUGGUAAAAUGUGUGUCUCCCCCCCCCCCGUAACUUCUAAAAUAACAGAAUGAUAAAACUAAAAAUAUAUAUGAUGUACAUUACCAUGUAAACUUCCACCGAAAAUUGGUUUGAACGAGAUCUAGUAAGUAGUUUUUUUUUAAUACGUCAUAAA